UACGUAGGGUGCAAGCGUUAAUCGGAAUUACUGGGCGUAAAGCGUGCGCAGGCGGUUAUAUAAGACAGAUGUGAAAUCCCCGGGCUCAACCUGGGAACUGCAUUAGUGACUGUAUAGCUAGAGUGCGGCAGAGGGGGAUGGAAUUCCGCGUGUAGCAGUGAAAUGCGUAGAUAUGCGGAGGAACACCGAUGGCGAAGGCAAUCCCCUGGGCCUGCACUGACGCUCAUGCACGAAAGCGUGGGGAGCAAACAGGAUUAGAAACCCUAUAGUCC
rnacentral:rRNA from 1 species